CAAAACACCACCAUCGGUUGCGGUCGUCCUUGGCGUCUCGGUUUCGGCCGGGGCGCGGGGACGGUUUAGCCCGGUGGCACCGGUGAAU
rnacentral:rRNA from 2 species